AAUUUGAAUUUAUUUAUAAGUAAGGAUUAAUGAUCUAAAGUUAUUCUACUAUCGAAUUGCUUUAACAACACUGAGAAAUUAUUUUCACCGUCACUAAUGAAAAUCGAAAUGCAGCACCAGAAUCCAUCCAUCAUAACCAGCACUUGUGAAAGCAUUCUAAAAUUGACUUUCUGAAAUCAAAUAUAAUCUUACUACCCAAAAAGACCUGAUUAAACUCUCCGGAGAGGGUUUUUUAAACAGCGUGGAGAGUCAUUGACCUGAAAACCAGGAGACGUGGUCUCUCGUUCCAUCUCUGCUGCUAACUUGCUGUGAGACUUUGAUCUCUAACUUCUUCAGCCCUCAGUUUCCUCAUCUAUGAAAUGAGACAGAUGCAUAAGUUUUACACAUCUACAAUCAUACUAUGGGCACAACGGUGCCUUUAUCAUUUAAAGGGAUUUAGAACAUGGAUCUAUAAGAACUCCACUGUUUUCUCCAAGGAUCUGUAGUAACAUGGAUGACACUGCAAAGCCAAAGAGCAAGAAAAGUGAGGGAAAGAAAACUGGGUGGUUACCUUCUACAAGAGUUCACAGAGCAAAACAGAGCUGAGAAUGCAAAGAAGUCUGGAUGAACUGAAUUACAGAUCAGGGUGAGCUUUCCCUAGGUGAGCGAAGGUCCACAGCCAUUCUCCUAGUGGAACAGAGAGAGGAGAAGUAAACCUCAUAGAUGAGGGGCUUCUAUCACUGCAUGUAGACGGCAGACAAACUCGUAUGGCCACAUGUGGACUUCUGUGAUGGCUUAGGAGAGUCCUGAGGAGACUGAGGGAGUCUAUAGAGCCUGUCAACUCUUUUCCAUAGCCUGCCAAUUCUUUCCCACAGAGCCUUAACCAAGUGCACACAGUGGCUAGCUGCCGAAAGUUGGGGCCAGGGCAGCAGAGGGGAUAGAGGUCCCCUUGGGAACACCUGCACAUCAAGUCUUUUCUCUUGAGAUUUCACUGUACUAAAGGCUGGUGACAGGGUAGAAAGACUGAGGGAUUUCUCCCAAGACUUGGAAAGCCAGGGAGGAGGCAGGGAGAGGCUGAGAGCAGUAAGCCCUUGAAAAGGCAUAAAACACUGGUGGCAGAACUGUAAAUUGGGGGCAAGGGGUCAGGGGAGAGAGAUAUCUAGACUUACUAGAGCAUAGAUCACAAGCUCUGAUAAAGGGACAGCUCUUAUUCUGCUCUCAAAAUAUUUAAAACAAGUAUCAAACUGAAACAAAUGCUACUCACACCAGACCCAGCUCAACUGGAGAUUAUUAAAGAGAAUAAAAACCUCAGACUGGCCGUCAGACAGAGGAAGGGAUGCAGCUCUUCUGGAUGCCUAUAUUUCGAGAAAUAGUAUAAAUUUUUACCUCGACAAGAUAAGGCUCCAUUUGAUCCAGGGUUUUUCCAAGAUGCUUAUCGGGAUCUAAACCUGCCAAGAAAAGUUCAAUUUUUUAAGAAAACUAUCAGAUUGGAAGUUUAAAGACACAUCCCCCUUCCCUUGGCUCCUCCUUGCCUAGGAAACCAACAUUUCUUCAUGGAAGCUGGAUGGAUGAAAAAACCCACAACAAGACCUAGGCACUGGAUAACUCUAUGCAGAAUUAAGAAAUUAAUUAGGAGGAAGAAUCAUAAUUUGCAGAGCUGACAUCUAUUUU